UCAGUACGGGAGGCAGCAGUGGGGAAUAUUGCACAAUGGGCGCAAGCCUGAUGCAGCGACGCCGCGUGAGGGAUGACGGCCUUCGGGUUGUAAACCUCUGUUAAUCGGGACGAAAGGCCUUCUUGCGAAUAGUUAGAAGGAUUGACGGUACCGGAAUAGAAAGCCACGGCUAACUACGUGCCAGCAGCCGCGGUAAUCUGA
rnacentral:rRNA from 1 species